UGAAAAUGGUCCUUCAGAUUCAGUAAAAAUGGGGAUCACUUCUGAAUUCUGGUUCCACACACAGGGACAUGGGGUAGGAAAAAUCCCCCAAAUCAAUGUAUAGGCUCAAUCCAUGUGUAGGCUCAAUCAAUGUAUAGGCUCAAUCAAUGUAUAGGCUCAAUCCAUGUACAGGCUCAUGCACCUUUUCCAAAGGAACCCUCCAGGAGUGAUGAGCAGAUGUUGAAGCCACCUCCUUCCAGCCCAGGCAAUGAUCUCACACCCAGCCAGGCAGGAAAAAACCACUCCUGGAUUGCAGAGACAUCUCCAUCCAGGAGGUUUCUUUCCUUCCACAUGGCCUACAAUCCAGGGGAAUAAAGGGAAUAAAGGAAUAAAGGAGUAAAGG